GCCAGUGUGGAGUAGUGGUUUGAGUGUUGGGCUACAACUCUGGAGACCAAGGUUUGAUUCCCUGCUCAGCCA